rnacentral:lncRNA from 1 species
AUCCGACAGGGUUUGAUGGCUGCCUUAGGUCGGAUAGAAAGAGAGAGCUUUGAUGACAUUUCUAGUGAACCCAAAAAAGGUCGAAGAGGCCAGCGUAAAAGCACAGAAAGGGAAGCAACUUGUCCACAAGUUUGAUGUUCAAAUAGUGGGAUUUUUUUCCCAGUUUCUAGUUUUGAGUUCCCCUAGUUCAGCUACUCAAGGGCAAAUCAAUGGGGGCAAGUCUACGAGGAAGGGUCUAUGUCCUUUUUUUACAAAACAAAGUAUGUCUCUAUACGCAAUUUAAUCAAACUUUAUACAUCUCUGUGAAGAAAGAAAAGUAGGCACUUUUAAGGCCAGUGUGGAGUAGCUAGAACGGAUGGGAGGUAGUUCUUCCUACAUUGGGUGGCUGAUAGAUCGAAUCGCCGAAUCAGAAAAAUUGGGUGCUAUCAUAAAGCUUUGUAUCAGCUAAGUUCACGAGUUAGAGAUAAGCGGACUCGAACCGCUGACAUCCGCCGCAGGGUAAACCACCGCCUCUCAGGUAUCCGACAGGGUUUGAUGGCUGCCUUAGGUCGGAUAGAAAGAGAGAGCUUUGAUGACAUUUCUAGUGAACCCAAAAAAGGUCGAAGAGGCCAGCGUAAAAGCACAGAAAGGGAAGCAACUUGUCCACAAGUUUGAUGUUCAAAUAGUGGGAUUUUUUUCCUAGUAGCUAGUUUUGAGUUCCCCUAGUUCAGCUACUCAAGGGCAAAUCAAUGGGGGCAAGUCUACGAGGAAGGGUCUAUGUCCUUUUUUUACAAAACAAAG